UUAAUGUGUAAACUUGCUCAGAGCACUUAGUGUGACCCUGACGCAAUCUUUAUUAAUGUUCUUAUUACUAUUAGCAACAUAUAACAUUAUUUAUGGAAACUUACAAAUUUUUUAACAUUUAGGUAUUUUUUUUUAACAUUACGGUAACAUUGAUAAAAAUAUACAGAAAAAUACUAUACAGUUAUCGAUUAUUGGCUUUUGUAAACAAAGUUAAGAUUGGCUUUUGUUUUCUUCUUUUUUUUUUGACUUAGGCAUAAAAUUUUUGUAACGCCGCUCCUGGACCCCUCAUCCGGUGCGAAACGGAGGCAUGGACGACAGGGAGACCUCCAAGCAUCAGCAACGCAAGCGCGGCAUCGCCUCGUCCCUCUUUUCCUGGCCGAGUCCAAUCGAUGCAACUCUAAGAAGAACGGACGCAUAUGCUUCUUUCUGUGGAUGAAUAUGAAACUCCUGGCUGAUUUUAAUAUUAUUUUAUUUUCAGGUUUAUGUUUUGUUUGUAUUUUAUUUGCAGGUUUUGAUUGGUUUGUUUGGAAGCUAUCGUAGUAAGUGAAUUAAUUUGUGUUUUGGCUGAUUAUAAAAUGUAUUCUAUUUGCAGGUUCAAUUGGUUUAUUUGGAGUUUUGCGUUGUAUUUGGUAAGCGAGUCUAUUUCUGUUUUGGCUGAUUUUGAUUGUAUUUUAUUUGCAGGUUUUGAUUGGUUUGUUUGAUGGCUAUCGUAGUAAGUGAAUUGAUUUGUGUUUUGGCUGAUUAUUAAAUGUAUUCUAUUUGCAGGUUCAAUUGAUUUAUUUGGAGGUUUGCGUUGUAUUUGGUAAGCGAGUCUAUUUAUGUUUUGGCUGAUUUUGAUUGUAUUUUAUUUGCAGAUAUUGAUUGGUUCGUUUGGAAGCUAGCGUGGUAAGUAAAUUAAUUUGUGUUUUGACUGAUUUUAAUUGUAUUUUAUUUGCAGGUUCAAUUGGUUUAUUUGGAGGUGUGCGUUGAAUUUGGUAAGCGAGUUUAUUUCUGUUUUGGCUGAUUUUAAUUGUAUUUUAUUUGCAGAUUGUGAUUGGUUUGUUUGGAAGCUAGCGUGGUUCAAUUGGUUUAUUUGGAGGUGUGCGUUGAAUUUGAUUGUGAUUGGUUUGUUUGGAAGCUAGCGUGGUAAGUAAAUUAAUUUGUGUUUUGACUGAUUUUAAUUGUAUUUUAUUUGCAGGUUCAAUUGGUUUAUUUGGAGGUGUGCGUUGAAUUUGGUAAGCGAGUUUAUUUCUGUUUUGGCUGAUUUUGAUUGUAUUAUAUUUGCAGGUUUUGAUUGGUUUGCUUGAAGGUGAUUUGGUAAGCGGUUUAAUUUAUGUUUUGGCUGCUUUUAAUAAGUUUUAUUUGUAGGUUUAUACUUUCUGGACUUGGUGAUAAUGCGUCAAUCCUCGCCGUAACCAUUGGACCAAGUCUUAACCACUCGGCUGGAGGACGCCUUCCUUUUCAUCCCCUCUGUGGUCUGGCACCAUAAUUUCUUGUAUACCCAAUGGCUGGCCCCUGAUUCCUUCAAGUAUUGUCUCCCUAGUGCAUUUCCCUUGAGCAUACAUUCCUCUGUACAUGUUCAUUUGCAGUUCGCAGAAUCUGUCCGUGUGUUUGUUUUGUUUUUUUUUUUCUUUCUACGGGCUCUUAUUGUCCAUUUUAGCCUUUUCUUCAAUCUCCAAUCCAAAGUUCAGCCAUUUUAUUUUUGAUCCCGCAGGCGUUCAAGAAAGUUGUUUUAAGCCUAUUGGAGUUGGGCAGGUUAGCCCCGGUCGUGUCAAGAGUUUGUGGCGGAAAGCGAUUGGAAUGUGGGAAAUGGCUUGCGUUAUUAUUGUUUGUGUUCAUGUCUGUAAAUUAUUCGGUAGUUUAGUUAGAUGUAAUGUAUAGCAAUGAGUUGUUUUAUUGUUUGUUUUCUAUUUGAUUGAGGAUAUUUGUUGUUUUGUGAUGUUCAGAA